rnacentral:lncRNA from 1 species
UCGGCUUUUGGAGGUGUUUUUUGGGGUUGUUUUUUUUUUUAUAUAAGCCACGCUCCUCGAGACUGGGGGGUUUUUUUGGGGAAAGCCGAGGCACGGAGGGUGAAAAAAUUUGGGGAGGCGAGAUGACGCGCGAUCCGUCUUAGUCGCUGGCGAGCGCCACGUGAUCCCAAAGUAGAUAUUGUCAUAUAUCAGUUUGGAGCGCUCGGGAUGGCGGAGGAGGGGUCGCUUCACUUAGGUAAGAGCGCCGGAGGUUCAAACGAUUGGUUUGCAAACACCGCAGCCGCGUUAUGAAAAUCAGGCGCAGAUUUGGGGGCAUUUUCUGCCGCCGGGGAAGGCACACCCCUCUCUCUCUCUCUCUCUCUCUCUCUCCCUCCCCGCGAGCAUCCACAGCAGAACGAGUACAAGGGCUGCCUUGGGAACUUGCGCUUUUUUUUUUUUUCCCCUCUCUCCCCCCUUCUUGGUCUUUUUCAUUUUCUUCCCUUUUUUUCCCUUGGUUUUUUUUCCCCUUCCCCCCCUUCUCGCUCUUUUCCUCCUUCCUCCCUUCUUCCCCUUUUCUUUCCUUCCCCCGUUUCUCGCUCUUUUUCCUUCCCUUUCCCCCCUUCUUGCUUUUCUUUUCCCUUUUCCCCCUUCUUCCUCUCUUUCUUCUCUUUCCCCUCUUUCUUGCUCCUUUUUGUGUCUUUCUUCCCCUUCUUCCUCUUUUUUCCCUUCCCCCUUCUCGCUCCUUUUCCAUUCUUUCCCUCCCUUCUUCCUCUUUUUCUUUUUCUUCCUUUUUCCCUUCUUUUCCCCUCCCUUUUUUCUUCGUUUCUUUCCUUCUCCUUUCUCCCCCCUUUUUUCCGUCCCUUUUUCCUCCUUUUUAUUUUUCUUCCCUUCUUUCCCCUUCUUUUAUUUCCUUCCCUCUCCUUCCCCCCCCCCCUUUUUUUUUCCUUUUUCUUCCCUUUUCCCCCCUCUUUUCCCCCUUUUCCCUCCUCUCCUUCCCCUCUCGCUGCCUCCAGCGGGGUUUGGAGAUGGGGUGGGGGCGAGCAGGGCUGGGCA